rnacentral:rRNA from 1 species
GAGGAAAGGGGCUUCGGCCCUGAGUAAAGUGGCGCACGGGUGAGUAACACGUGACUAACCUACCUUUGAGCGGGGGAUAACCUAGGGAAACCUGGGCUAAUACCGCAUAAUACCUACGGGUCAAAGCGAGCAAUCGCACUUAAAGAGGGGGUCGCGGCAGAUUAGCUAGUUGGUGAGGUAAUGGCUCACCAAGGCGAUGAUCUGUAUCCGGCCUGAGAGGGCGCACGGACACACUGGAACUGAAACACGGUCCANACUCCUACGGGAGGCAGCAGUGGGGAAUUUUGCGCAAUGGGGGAAACCCUGACGCAGCANCGCCGCGUGGAGGAUGAAAUCCCUUGGGAUGUAAACUCCUUUCGAUCG